UGCGUAGGCGGCCCGGGAAGUUGGGUGUGAAAUCCCUCAGCUUAACUGAGGAAUUGCAUUCAAAACUGCCGGGCUUGAGGGAGACAGAGGUGAGCGGAACUUAGGGUGGAGCGGUGGAAUGCGUUGAUAUCCUAAGGAACACCGGGGGCGAAAGCGGCUCACUGGGUCUUUUCUGACGCUGAGGCACGAAAGCUAGGGGAGCGAACGGGAUUAGAUACCCCGGUAGUCCUAGCCCUAAACGAUGAGCACUGGAUCGGAGAACAUCCCAUAGUUUUCUGGUCGUAGCAAAAGCGUUAAGUGCUCCGCCUGGGGAGUAUGGUCGCAAGGCUGAA
rnacentral:rRNA from 1 species